rnacentral:sRNA from 1 species
CCCUAGCUCUGACCGCAGAGGAACUCCUUAUUUUUUAGGCUUGUAUUUUUUUCUUGUGCCAAAAGAGCGACUUUAGGAGCUCCUUUUUGGCGCUUAGAAAAAACAAGACUAUAAAUAAGAGUGGAGCGAAGGGCGGGAAUUGGC